CACAUGACAGUUACGGCACAUAUAUCACAAGUUUGUUCAGGGAUUUCCACUUUGUUCUUCAGAGGUAGUAGUUUAGGACAGUAGGCUUUGUAGCUCAUGCAAGUUGUUGCCUUUCUGCUGCCUUGCCUCAUGGCCAUGAAGAAGCAGUUGGACCUGCAAUUCCUCCACCUUUCCCUGGCUCCUCCUUCAGCUUCUUCCAUACAUGGCACAGAUGCCAUUCAGAAUACCACAUUGCAUUUGGUCAUAUUGAUCCCUUAAGCACCUCUAAACUAAACUGUGACCGUUUAUCAGAAUUUCCUUGUUUUUGAAGACUGUGAUAUCUGAUUGCUGAACAAAUUAUCUUUUUCUCCACCGAAUUGUCUUUGCACUUUUGAAGAAGAGAUGGAAGAAGAGGAAGAACAUUGUUCAUUAUGUACGCAUCUAUUUCUGGACUUUCUACUCUCUUCCACUGAUCUAUUUGUGAAUUAUUUGAUUAUCAUAGUGUAUGGUGAGGCCCGAGUCAAGCUAGCCUCUGUACCUCCAUUUUUAGUAAAAUCUCCAUUUAUGCAUGGCACUGACCUCUGCCUGAACCCCCAGGUAGUGUGUCAAGAUAAGAGCUGUUGUCAAGAUAAGUGUUCUGAGAAAAACUGCAAAAUGUACCGUUCCCGUAGCGGUCGUUUUGCUUCUGUAACUGCGCUUGCCGCCCCCGCCCUCGCCCUCGCCCUCACCGCUUACCGGGCUAACUGAUUGGCCACUGGAGCUCGAGAGAGAGCAAACUUCCUGCUUAUGAAACUGCUUAAAAACUGCAGCUGAAAGACGUCCGGGGUCCUUCUCUGGGGCUGCGUCCUUGAGAUUGGACCCUGGACGGCGAAAUAAAAGCUUGGC
rnacentral:lncRNA from 1 species